rnacentral:lncRNA from 1 species
GGACUUCUCCGUACAGGAAGAUAGAUUUCUCAAGUCCCUGCAAGAUCCUGUCCUGAAGACAUAUAUUCUUAAGGAUAGGGCUUGGUAGGCCCCGCCCCCUUCAAGCAAAACCUCUUCAUGUCAGCCUCCCCUGGCUUUCCUGUUCCAAGCUCAUUCCACUAACAACUCCAAAAAAAAUAUUGUUUCAUGAUAUGUGUGUCCCUUGUGAGAAAAACAAGGGUCAGUGUUAUGUUCUGAUUCAUCGAUGUCACAGGCUUUUGUCACGGCUCUAAGUUAAUUACCAAAUGACAGUUCUCCUCAGCUAAAGGCAUUAGCGACUAACUCUAAUUGCAAGGUCCAGGACCAUAUGACCAGAUAUCCAGGGUGCCUGCCAUAGACAGAAGCUGAAGCCUGAUGUGGCAGAACUUACCAAGAGUUGAACCUUCAUAGAGAGCUCACAGGGAGAGAGCUCGUUCCCAUUGGAAUGAAAUGUCAAGAAUGGAAUCCUUAGAAGAAAACCUUCUCUGUGACUCCUGGGUGGGCAGACCACCAGGUUUCCUUCCUUCUUUCCUUAUUUCCUAGCACGAUGUUUUUUAAAGACAGUUCUGUGCAGCCCUAGCUGAUAUUAAACUCAAGUUAUUCCUCCUGUCUCAGCUUCCUAGGAGCUAGGAUUAUAGGCAUGUACCACUACCUGGCUUCUUUGGGGAGGAGGUAGAAGGCAGUGUCUUAUACAAAUUAGUCUGAACUCACACUCAGAUGAGACUAACCUUGGACUCCUAAGGUUCUGCUUCUGUGUCUUUGUUAGGGUUCUACUGCUGUGAAGAGACUGUGACCAUGACAAUUCUUAUAAAGACAAACAUGUAAUUGGGACAGGCUUAUAGUUUCAGAGGUUUAGUCCAUUAUCAUCAUGACCAGAAGGAAGCAUGGUGGCAUGCAGACAGACAUGGUCGUGGAGAGAAGCUGAGAGCUCUACAUCUUGAUCUGCAGGCACAGGAAGAGAAGGUGAGCCACUGAGUCUGGACUUGAGCUUCUGAAACCUCAAGUUCACCUUUACCCCCAGUGACACACUUCCUCCAACAAAAGUCACACCUACUCCAACAAGGCCACUCCUCCUAAUAGUGCCACUCCCUAAGAACCUAUGGAGGCCAUUUUAUUUCAAACCACCACAUUCUAGCUCCUGAAUGCUGACAUUAUACCAUAUCCAGCUUCAACACACUUUAAUAAAGAACUUAUUCUGUGUUAGAUAUGAUACUUGGAAUGAAAAUACAUGAGGCCAGGUAUAACUCAGUAACAGAAUACUGGCCUGUCAUAUGAUAGAGGCCCUGGGUUCAAUUUUCCAGCGCUGAAUGCAUGGAGACAUAAGCCCUGACCUGAGAGCUCCCAAGCUAGUGGAGAGAGAGGCUUCACAAAAGAACAAGAGUACAAACAUUGUUUAAUGUUGCCCCUCCUCAGACAGAAUGCCUGCUUUGUGGGAAACUCUAGGAUCAUAAAUGCAUGAUACACUUUCCACUCUCCAGAAGCCUGCCAUCAAGAGGACAAGUACGAAUAUGAAAGGAAAAGAUGCCUCAUUGUAAGAUAUGGUGAAAAGACAUCAGGCCUGUUCUCAGAUC